rnacentral:lncRNA from 1 species
AUUGCUAACCUCAAGCACACCUGCAUUGCCAUCAAGUCAGAAGGCAUACAACACAGGCUAGUGGACAAGAUCAUCAAAGGUUUCAACCAGAAGGGAUUCCUCAUAAUGACCAUGAAGCGCCUUUGGGCUUCUGACCAGCACCUGAAACAGCAGCACUACAAUGACCUGAAAAACAAUCCUUUCUUCCCCAGGCUAAGAAUUUAGGGUUUGUGGAGGCCAUGGGAGGAGCUCAGUGUGAUAAAGCCUGGCCAACUGAUGUUGAGUAAGACCAAUCCUGCCGAUUCUAAAACGGGCACCAUUAAAGGGGAUUUCUACAUUCAAUUUGUCAACAAUUCAGAAAAAAAAAUGCUGAGAAAAAAAAUCACUGUAUGGUUUAAGCCUGAAGAACCAAUUGACUACAAGUCUUGUGCCCAUGACUGGGACUAUGAGUAG